GCGACCUGUGUGGAAACCAUGAUCGGUUAUCAAUGCAACUCUCCAGUGGACUCCUCUGCAUGCUAUUCUGAUUGCCAAUCUGCGUAUGAUGCAGGCCACCGUGAGAAUGGUAUCUAUCAGAUCUGCUUUAUAACAUCCAACGGUGUUUAUAAAGGACCAUACAGUGUAUACUGCACCAAUGGUCACUAUUUUCCAUUUGGAUGGCUGGUGAUACAAAGACGCUAUGAUGGGAGCGUAAACUUUGAAAGACCAUGGAAUGAUUAUAAGGACGGCUUCGGCAACUUUUCAACGGAGUUCUGGCUCGGCAACGAACUCAUCCACGAACUUACGAGUCUGAUAAACUAUCGUCUUCGCAUAGAGAUGGUGCACGAGAACGGGACAACCUCGCACUCGAAGUAUCAGAGGUUCCGAGUCGGAGACGAGGGUAGUGGCUACCGGCUCCAUGU